AGCGAACGCUGGCGGCAGGCUUAACACAUGCAAGUCGAGCGGGCGUAGCAAUACGUCCGCGGCAGACGGGUGAGUAACGCGUGGGAACGUACCUUUUGGUUCGGAACAACACAGGGAAACUUGUGCUAAUACCGGAUAAGCCCUUACGGGGAAAGAUUUAUCGCCGAAAGAUCGGCACGCGUCUGAUUAGCUAGUUGGUGAGGUAACGGCUCACCAAGGCGACGAUCAGUAGCUGGUCUGAGAGAAUGAUCAGCCACAUUGGGACUGAGACACGGCCCAAACGCCUACGGGAGGCAGCAGUGGGGAAUAUUGUACAAUGGGGGCAACCAUGAUCCAGCCAUACCGCGUGAGUGAGGAAGGCCCUAGGGUUGUAAAGCUCUUUUGUGCGGGAAGAUAAUGACGGUACCGCAAGAAUAAGCCCCGGCUAACUUCGUG
rnacentral:rRNA from 1 species